AUUGAACGCUGGCGGCAGGCCUAACACAUGCAAGUCGAACGAGUGGCGGACGGGUGAGUAAUGUCUGGGAAACUGCCUGAUGGAGGGGGAUAACUACUGGAAACGGUAGCUAAUACCGCAUACCAUCAGAUGUGCCCAGAUGGGAUUAGCUUGUUGGUGGGGUAACGGCUCACCAAGGCGACGAUCCCUAGCUGGUCUGAGAGGAUGACCAGCCACACUGGAACUGAGAAACGGUCCAGACUCGUACGGGAGGCAGCAUGGGGGAAGAUUGCACAAUGGGCGCAAGCCUGAUGCAGCCAUGCCGCGUGUAUGAAGAAGGCCGUCGGGUUGUAAAGUACUUUCAGCGAGGAGGCGUUACUCGCAGAAGAAGCACCGGCUAACUCCGUGCCAGCCGCCGCGGUAAUAC
rnacentral:rRNA from 1 species